CUUCGGACUAUCUGCUUCGUCUCCGCUAAAUUCGUUGCUAAUUCUAAUCAUACGUUGUGAUAUCAGAUCUUAAAACCAGUGAUAAAUCGACACACAGUGACUCGAACAAUCCUAUCUCAUCUGGGUGUAAAAUUGGCUUAAUAAAACUUGUAAUAGUGGUGAUGCAGGACGCAACAAGUCGAACCGGUAGCCAUUGUGAAUUAUUUUUGAAUUCUUGUCGAAACUCGAGUAUCUCCACGGUGGACUCAAAGUGCAUAAUUAGUGCAUACAAAUAACUGGAAGAAUAAGCACCAGAUCUCCGCUCUUCCUGCUACGUGAAUUGAGCUCAGAGUCUGCAGCACACAGCAGGGAAGAAUCUCAAAGCUACCUGACCUGUUCAGCAGACUCCAAUCGGAUCUCUAAUAUUCGCUAGACUCAGGAAAAAUUGACAAUCGUUUUUACUGCAUCCGAUGUAGUCACCUCGUCCAUAGCUGAUCAUCGAUCAUCCACAUAAAGUGGGAAAUCUUGCAUCGUUCUUCGUGGGAGCAUCUCAUCCAUACAACGUGUUUCAACCUACUACACAGCUAUAGCCAUCAGGGAGGCAGAGACAUCCGGGUAAAAUCCAAGACCCCCGAGGCCUGGGAACCGGCUCGGGUCCGGUCUUGGUACCGGCAGCGAUGGUGAGUCCCAGCACUCAAAGUUCCUCGACUUCUUUGCCAGCUCACACGAUGGUGAACGCUGGCAUCGGGUCGUUGUAUUUUAUAUUGUGUCAUUCCUCUGUUCCCUUUUUGUAACAUGGCGUGGCGGUACCCUGAAUUGCAAUUUUAUUAGAUCAGGUAAUUGUAGGGUUGGUUGCUGUUGAGCAUAGCGCACGUGCACCCUUUAGCGUCAAACAUAUAAAACUCUUCCUUGAAAUUAAUCAGUCAAAAAACCAAUGAAUGAUUAAGUCAGUCAGUCAGUUUAUUAAUUUGUCAAUCAGUUAUUUGAGCAAUCAGUCAACUAUUAGUUCAUCGAAUAUGAACUAUUCAGAUAAAUCACAUCUUAGAUAAAUUUAAGUGCAAGAGUGUGCAGCUCAUAGGCAACGGUAAAGGCCGUCGU